CCUACGGGCUGCACCAGUGGGGAAUCUUGGACAAUGGGCGAAAGCCCGAUCCAGCAAUAUCGCGUGAGUGAAGAAGGUCUUCGGAUUGUAAAGCACUUUCGACGGGGACGAUGAUGACGGUACCCGUAGAAGAAGCCCCGGCUAACUUCGUGCCAGCAGCCGCGGUAAUACGAAGGGGGCUAGCGUUGCUCGGAAUGACUGGGCGUAAAGGGCGCGUAGGCGGUUUAUGCAGUCAGAUGUGAAAUCCCCGGGCUUAACCUGGGAACUGCAUUUGAGACGCAUAGACUAGAGGUCGAGAGAGGGUUGUGGAAUUCCCAGUGUAGAGGUGAAAUUCGUAGAUAUUGGGAAGAACACCGGUGGCGAAGGCGGCAACCUGGCUCGAUACUGACGCUGAGGCGCGAAAGCGUGGGGAGCAAACGGGAUUAGAUACCCCUGUAGUC
rnacentral:rRNA from 1 species